GUGCCAGCCGCCGCGGUAAUACGUAGGGGGCAAGCGUUGUCCGGAUUUACUGGGCGUAAAGGAUGUGUAGGCGGAUAUUUAAGUGAGAUGUGAAAUCCCCGGGCUUAACUUGGGGGCUGCAUUUCAAACUGGAUGUCUAGAGUGCAGGAGAGGAAAGCAGAAUUCCUGGUGUAGCGGUGAAAUGCGUAGAGAUUGGGAAGAAAGCCAGUGGCGAAGGCGGCUUUCUGGACUGUUACUGACACUGAGGCAGGAAAGCGUGGGGAGCAAACAGGAUUAGAUACCCGGGUAGUCCACGCCGUAAACGAUGAAUACUAGGUGUAGGAGGUAGCGACUCCUUCUGUGCCGCAGUUAACACAAUAAGUAUUCCGCCUGGGGAGUACGGUCGCAAGAUUAAAACUCAAAUGAAUUGGCGG
rnacentral:rRNA from 1 species